rnacentral:rRNA from 1 species
UACGUAGGGUGCAAGCGUUGUCCGGAAUUAUUGGGCGUAAAGAGCUCGUAGGCGGUCUGUCGCGUCUGCUGUGAAAACCUGGGGCUUAACCCCGGGCCUGCAGUGGGUACGGGCAGACUAGAGUGCGGUAGGGGAGACUGGAAUUCCUGGUGUAGCGGUGAAAUGCGCAGAUAUCAGGAGGAAUACCGGAGGCGAAGGCGGAUAGUUGGGCCAACAUUGACGCUGAGACCCGAAAGCGUGGGGGAUCAAACAGG